rnacentral:lncRNA from 1 species
GAGGCAUAUUAGUCGACUGGAAAAAAUGACUCAGGAGCCAGUGUCACACAAUCAAUCCACAGGCUACUUUUUGGAGGCCCGAAGUCUUGUCACCAUGGAAAUAUCUUUGUGCUUUAAUGUUUUUUUCUUUUUGUCUUUUGUCUUUUUAGGGUUGCACCUGCGGCAUAUGGAGGUUCCCAGGCUAGGGGUCUAAUCGGAGCUGUAGCUGCCGGCCUACUCCACAGCCGCGCUAGAUCCGAGCCGCAUCUGCAACCUACACCACAGUUCAUGUCAAUGCUCAAUCAACCCACUGAGCGAGGCGAGGGAUCAAACCUGCAACCUCAUGUUCCUAAUCGGAUUCGUUAACCACUGAGCCACAACAGGAACUGCCUAUGAGGCUUAUACUUAAGUUGGACAUAAAAAUUGUAUAUCAUUCUGAUAUUUAAAAAGUGUUUUUCUUAAAAUUUUUUGGCUAUGCCCACAGCAUGCGGAAGAUCCCAGGCCAGGGAUCAAACCCAUGUCUCAGCAGUGACAAUGCCUGAUCCUUAACCCAGUGUGCCACCAGGGAACUCUUCAUUUUGAUAUUUUGACAAGUGUCUGCUUGUUCAUUCAUUUAAUAAAAAUGCUCAUUAUUGAUAGAAGACUAGAGAAACAGGCGUUCUCAUAUGGAACCUGUGAGAAAGUAAACUGAGGCCUUUCCAGAGAGUGAUGUGGUGCCCAGGCUCACACCCUUCAAAUGUACAAACCCUUUGAUCUAAUAACUCCACAUCUGUGAACUUAAGGAAAUGAUCAUGCGUAUGCAUCAGAGUACAAGUGCAAAGAUGUUCGAUGCUGUAUCACAGCAAAUCAGGAAACCAGACAUGGGUAUGCUCUGUGCCACCCAGCUCAGCCCCUUGACCUUAGCGCACCUGUGAUGAACACUUCCAUGCAUGAUCCCAGCCUCCUGCCCCAGGCUCACCAAGGCUUUUUGGCUUCAGGGCUUUUCUUGGAUGCCUCAGAAGACCAUUUUGCUUGCGCCAGACAUAGCCGAAAACGGUGAGAUGGUUAACACUCUCAGGGAACAACCCUCCCCCAGUGGGAGAAAGAUCUGGGCAAUGAAUGCCCAGCUUCUCCUUUCUUCAGCAAGACCACUUCAGGGACUAUUCUUUACGAGUCCUGAUUAGGACCCCAUGGGAUUGAGCUCCACCUGCCCACGGUGAUUACAGGUCACUAACGCACCUUUUGGGAUUUGCUCCUUUCCCUGACCCACUCUCCCCACCCCUUCGCUUCUGCUUCCUGGGGUCUCCUCUGAAGUAAAUUACCUGCACCCAAAUCCUUGCCUCAGACUCUGCUUUCCGGAAACUCAAAUCAAGAGUCAGCCUAGAUGGGGAAGGGAAGGACUGGGAGUUUGGGAUUAGUGGAGGCAAAUUAUUAUGUUUAGGAUAGAUAAACCACAGGGUACUACUGUAUAGCACAGGGAACUAAAUUCAAUUCCUGUGAUAAACCAUAAUGGAAAAGAAUAUGAAAAAGUAUAUAUAUAUGUAUAACUGAGUCACUUUGCUGUUUAGCAGAAAUUAAUACAACAGUGUAAAUCAACUAUACUUGAAAAAAAAUUUUUUUAAAAGGAAGACAAAAAAAGGUCAAUCUAAACAUCAAAAAUAAGGGUUGAAUUAACUGUGGCAUAUUAUGCAGGCAUCAAAAUUACCUUGGACCCAAGGAAGAAGAAAAUCGUUUGACCAUGCAAAGACUCGUACAUGAAUGCUCAUGGCAGAUUUUAUUUGUUACAGCCCCAAAGCGAAGACAAUCCAACAUCCAUUAGCAUGUGAGUGGCAAAACAAAUUGUGGUCUCUCUGUACGAUGGAAUACUAUUCAGCAAUAAAAAGGAUUGAACUAUUGAUAGACACAACAACAUGAAACUUAAAUAUGCUGAAAGAACCCAAAAAGAGUGCAUAGUGUAUGAUUUUAUUUAUAGAAAAUUCUAGAAAAUGCAAACUAAUCUGUAGUAACAGAAAACAGACCAUUGGUUGCCUGGAGAUAGAGGGAGGGUAUAGAAAGGGAGGGAAGUGAAGUUACAAAGAUGUACAAGGAACCUUUUGCAGGCAAUGAAUAUGUUCCUUAUCUUGACUGCAGAGAUGGUUUCAUUAAAUAUGUGUGGUUUAUUGUAUGUCAGUUACAUGUCAAUAAAGCUGUAAAAGAU